AAAAACAAAAGAAGAAAG
rnacentral:snRNA from 1 species